ACGAUGGGGCUUUAAAAUACAAAGCCCUCCAAACUGCCUUCACUGCACGGCCACAUGAAUUGCACCAACUCACUUACUCACUCACUCACACUCAUUCUCUCUCUCUCCCAUUCCUCUUUUAGGGUUACUGGUCUCACGCACUCUCGCCCCCCGUCAAUUUGCUACAGCUGGGUAUCAUCACAAUGGCUGAAAACCAGGCGAGCCUUCUGCUGCGGAAGCAGCUUAAAGUUUUUUCAUCUUUAUUUUUUUGAAGAUUUGUCUAGGAAUCCUGUCGAUGGAUUCUCAGCAGGACUUGUAGACGACUCCAACUUGUUCGAAUGGAAUGUGACGAUUAUUGGGCCUCCAGAUACUCUCUAUGAAGGAGGCUAUUUUACUGCUAUCAUGAGCUUUCCACCAAACUAUCCUAAUAGCCCCCCAUCGGUUAGAUUCACAUCCGACAUGUGGCAUCCUAAUGUUUAUCCUGAUGGACGGGUUUGCAUUUCAAUUCUACAUGCUCCUGGUGAUGAUCCAAAUGGUUAUGAAUUGGCGAGUGAGCGUUGGUCUCCCGUGCAUACUUGCAGGUGGAGACAAUUCUUUUAAGCAUCAUAUCUAUGCUCUCCAGUCCUAAUGAUGAAUCACCUGCUAAUAUAGAUGCUGCGGUAAGAAAGAGUGGCGAGAGACCAAAGAAGAGUUCAAGCGAAAGGUGAGCCGGAUAGUAAGGCGUUCCCAAGAAUCAAUGUGACAGAAACGGGUUAUUUGUAGAGGCUGCACCUGUAUGUUGCUCGAUUCACAAUUUAAUAAUAUCCUGGACACGAUAUGGAAAUUGGAAACUUAAAUUAUUGCCAUAUGCAGCUGUGACGCAGUUGGGACCAGUAUGCUGGGGUAAGUAUUUAAGAUUA